CGCAACUUGCGCCUCUUGGUAUUCCGAGAGGCAUGCCUGUUUGAGUGUCAUGAAUACCUCAACCCCCCGGGUUUUUCUCAAACCUGUGGGUGGCUUGGAGAUGGGCGUCCUGCCGGUGCCGAGCCGGCUCGCCUCAAAGGUCUCAGUGGGAUCCUCGACCCCAUGCCUGACGUAAUAAGUUUCGUCUGGGCCGGGUCGGGCGAUGUCCGCUCACAACCCCUCAUAUUCUGUGACUCUGACCUCAAAUCAGGUAGGGCUACCCGCUGAACUUAA
rnacentral:misc_RNA from 1 species